GCUGAAGUCAGUAUGGGGACUUGCUUCCGUCUUCCUAAUGGGAGGAACUGGUGCCUGCCCACUGGGAAGGGAGCAUGAACUGAACUCUAAAUCUCACUGUUGCUAACACGGGAGAAAAACUGACCUAGGCUCUCCUUGGCUCCAAGUCAAAAAUCUCAGAGUAAUGUUUGGCUCAUUUGGAUCAUCUGACUGCCUCUGCAUCAAUCAGUGCUGGACAGAAGGACAGGGUCAUUCAGCAUAGUCUCAUCAUUGGGUUUCUCUUAGAGAAGGCUAACCAUUGUGAGAGAAAGAGCCACUCCACUUGCCCGCCAUGAAAAUGGCCCAACCGCUCUUUUUGUUUUUACUCUUGUGGAAAAUUCAGUGCAGUUUUAGUCAUCUUUCCAACCCUUCUUACCACAGAUACAUCAAAUGAUUGUAUUUCACUGAAUCUAUGACAGUAAUUUUUUUUUUAUCAUGUAUGACUGUUCUAUGUACCUCUGAGAAAGAAGGAGAAGAUAAGGUUCCAAAUAAACUAAUGACACAAUGCCAGGAUGCCUUCCAUUAUAAAAUGCAUCCUAAUUUACAAGCUGUCAAAGCAUCUUUUUAGAGUUGAUGGAAGAUGUUAUUUGUUGCUCCACAACCAAGCGCCAGCUAUACUUUCAUGCCCUGGUACCACUGUUCUUUUAUUUCUUCAGUACAUCCAUUAAUUCAGAAAAUAUAGGCCAAAUAAUAAUAAAUGAG
rnacentral:lncRNA from 1 species